GGUGACACUGUGUUUAAGUCUGGCGUGACACUAUUGUUAAGUGUUUUUCGGGUGAGAACAUCCUCGUUAACCGUGCAGAAUAUGGAACAGUCUAUCUGCUCUGCCAGCGCUGAUCCCCUCGUUCAUACCUGGGACGGAAUGCCACAACUCAUAGCUGGCAUUAAAAUCCCCUAGUACCAGACGGUUAUUGCCUACCAACCUACCUCUGAGCCGUUGGAAUUAAAUUCCAAGAAAGAUGCACAGUCCGGAGUUGGAACAGCAACUUGUGGCGUAAGAUACUGCGGUAUAGGUUGCCGUUCGGGAGACUGUGGUGGAGUUCCGUACUCCGACGAAGACUCAGAAGCGUACGACGUAGACUCGCUGCGCACUAUGUUGCUGCAGCACGUCACAAUAUAAUCCUUUUCGAUGUAGUUUCUCAACCGACUUAAUCCGGAACAGCACCCAUUUUUCGAAACAGACCAGUGGUGGAUAACGUUCUGACAAACUGAGCAGAAUCAGGUUCGGGGUUUUCUUCGGUCCCGGCACGGACUAAAAUAAUUCGGAGCAGGCAUUCCUUGUUAUGUUGCUCCCAAAAGAAGAAAAAUAAACAAACAUAUACAGCAGCCACAGGUCCGGAUUUACACUACCGAUACAGACAAUAUAGGUAUCAUAUAAAACCUUAUGAAAAGCAAAACCUAUAAGAAACUUAUGAAAAUCAAAGCCCAUCUGACCAUUGUCAAAAUACAUAUUUGUGAUCAAAUCAUAAUAGUGUAAAAACUAAUAAGUUUAUUUUUGCGGUUGUUGUGGUAACAGUGGUGUAUGUUAGGUGCUUUAUAUGCUGCUAAUCUGGUUCUGCUUCAAAGACCAUGUUUAGGAAAUCUGCUACACUUAUGGACUUAGAUCUUGGGCAUAGAUCUUCUGGAUUGAGUUUUAUAAGUUUGGCAGGACAUUUGGAUAGAUGCAGCUUAUUAUGCGGGCCUGUAUUGCACGCUGGGCCGACAUUCCUUGCACCUUGAUCAAUCCAUGCCCAAUAUUAAUUGAAACGUCUGCACCAUUGUUGUUGUAGCAGCUCAUACAUCUGUGUUCUUUCGGUUUCCAUUUUCUUCAGUUCAGUUCAGUCAGGUUCUGCCUCUAAGUCCAGUCUCAAAAAGGAUGCAACCUGUAUGGGUUGUGUCCAUAACGAGACUAGAGUUAGGUGAGUAGGCUUGGCUGGGAAGCGAAAUAGGUGCAGCGUGUCAUGUGGGCCUGUGCCACAUGCUGGACAGAUGUUCUACAUGUCGCCGUUAAUCCGGGCCCAGUAGGACUUUAGGCGGCUGCACCAUCCGGAUCGUAAUUGAGCCAAAACUACUCGGGUUUGUCGGGGCAGCUCUAGUUCUUCAGCUGCGAGGGAAGGGGGAUGGUCUCCUAGCACAGUAUUCACACUGUAUCCUUCAAUGGCUUCUGAGACCGCAUUAGAGUGAAUACUAUUCAGUCCCGCUUGAUAGGCCUGUUGAUCUAGAGGCUCUCUCUUAUACCUCUGUACCUCUCUCUCUAGAUCAUGAAGGUCUUUCCUAACGUGCCUGGGCGGAGGUUGCCUAUCCACAAGAUGGUGAUUUGGAUGGCUUUGUCUAUAACACCUAAGCAGGUAUUGCAUUGACAGCAUUUUGUUAUGCUGUCGCACCGGUAAGGUGAUCGACAGGUGUCAUGAGAAGGCACCCUAUUGCGGUUCUAAGGGCGGCAUUCUGGCAGGACUGAAUAUUUUUCCACUGCGUAGCACUGACGUUGGCGGACCACACCGGAGCCGCAUAGUUUACCACAGACCGGCCUAUCGCGUUGUAAGAGGUCAACAAGGUUUCCUUAUCAGCUCCCCAAGUACUGCCGGCCAGAGACUUGAGGACCUUGUUCCUACUUCUAAUCUUGUCGCAGAUAGCUGUGGUAUGCGCGGACGACUUAAAAAGGCUAUCGAAUGUGACCCCUAAUACCUUGGGGUAGUUGGUGGUCGGAAUAAUAGCACCAUCGACCUGCACAUUCAAGGAUAGCCCCAUCUCCGCAGUCUAUGUGGUGAAAAGUGUGGCCGUCGACUUAGUGGCGGAUAUCUUCAUAUUCCUCGCAGUGAAAAAGGCGGUAAGAUCAACAAGGUAAGCGUUUAACCGAUCGCAAAUGUCAUCAAUAAUGGGUCCGGACGCCACGAGCGUACAAUCAUCUGCGUACGUUAUAAUCUCUAUGCCGGAGAUAUCACCCCACCUUGGGGAACUCCCUGUUUAACUCUACGGAUGCUCGACUUCUUGUUUCUGAAAUCCACGUACGACUGGCGUCCACACAUGUAGCUUUGUAAGAUACUCAACUCCUGGUUCAUCAGUUGCUUCAACAUCACCAUUAAGAUUUCGUCAGGACCAAGCGCUUUGGAUGACUUUACGCUUCUGAUGACCUGUGCAACAUCUGCCAACGUAAAUUGUGGUGGACGAACACGAACAUGUAUUUGCUGGGUUGGCGGCCCCUGGUCGGAGAAAUGUGCCUCCGAUUCAAUCCGGUACAUAGAACCGGCCGCCGUGGGAUUGGUCUGCACCAUUGUAGUGUCGUCACAGCAUAUUGAUCUUCUCUUUAUAGAUAUGGGCUCAGCCGCUCAUCAUCAUACAUUCUUCCAACUCUAAGCAAUGUUUUAACUUCGUUGAUUUAUCAGCCUUAAUAAAAUAUAGUUUUUAUAAUGUCAAA